CACGGGGGGAGCAAGCGUUGUUCGGAAUCACUGGGCGUAAAGGGCGUGUAGGCGGUCAAGUAAGUGGGAUGUGAAAUCCCUCGGCUCACCCGAGGACCUGCAUCCCAAACUGCUUGGCUUGAGUAUGGGAGAGGAUGAGGGAAUUCCUGGUGUAGCGGUGAAAUGCGUAGAUAUCAGGAGGAACACCGGUGGCGAAGGCGGGACUCUGGGCCGAUACUGACGCUGAGGAGCGAAAGCGUGGGGAGCGAACAGG
rnacentral:rRNA from 1 species